rnacentral:misc_RNA from 1 species
CUUGAGCGCUACGUACAUAACUUAGAAAUUCAGAUAAAGUUUAUAAAUGUACGGUACUGUACAGUAUUUUCACUAUACAGUAUUUAUCUUGUUUAUUAGAGUUAGGUCCAGCUAAACAUUGAAAAUUUUGGGACCACAGGAAGAUUAAGCAUCUCAGCUUAUUUCAUCUGAUGUUUAAACACUAACACUAACUUAACCUAACCUACUGUAGUAAAAUAUGCUGGGAAGACUAAUCUUCAGUUAUCUUCAAUUGAUACAAAAUUUUUAUAUCCCAACAAGAAAUAGUAUCCUACUUUCAUCUGAUAAUUGUUUCAUUGGGUCAUCUUAUAUUUAUAAUGUGGACCACACUCCUCAACCAAUAUAAUACAUAUUGUAACCUCAGAUUAAUAUCCCAAUAAGGGUAAGAAGAUGGACUCCUCACCUAUGACACUGUUUGGCUACUUCAACGAGCGAGUGAAGGCCAACCUGCACUUGGUAGUGGCCAUGUCCCCCAUAGGCGACACCUUCGGGACCAGGCUCAGGAUGUUCCCCUCCCUCAUUAACUGCUGCACUAUAGACUGGUUUACUGCAUGGCCUGAUGAUGCCUUGGAGAUGGUGGCCACAUCACUGCUGCAGGAAACUAAACUGGAGGCAUCAUUGUUGGCUCACUGUGUCACUGUCUGCAAGUAUUUCCACCACAGCAUUGAUGACCUUGCCCACAGGUUCUAUGAGCAGCUGCGGCGGAGGUACUAUGUGACAUUGUGACAUCCACCUCCUACCUGGAGCUCGUGUUCACCUUCAAGCAGCUCCUCCUUAAGAAGCGCUCAGAGAUCCUCACACUACGGGACAGGUAUGUGACAGGUCUGGAGAAACUGAAAGAGGCCAAGCUGUUGAUCACUGAACUGCAAGAAGAGCUAAAGCUGCUGCAGCCCCGCCUAGUGGAGACCUCUGCCAACACGGAGGCACUUAUGAUCAAGAUCGAACAAGACACCAUCCAAGUGGAGAGGAAACAAGAGUUGGUGGCGGCAGACGAGGCGGUGGCCAAUAAGAAGUUUGCCGAUGCACAGGCCAUAAAAGACGACUGUGAAAAGGAGCUCGCCAAGGCAGUACCAGCUCUCAAUGCUGCCACAGACGCCCUCAACACCCUCAAACAAGAUGACAUACGCGUCGUCAAGGCCAUGAAGAACCCGCCCUCAGGAGUCAAGCUGGUGAGUAUAACCUACCAAAUGAUGACAUUGGUUAUGAAGAGUGCUCACCUUAACCUCCACUCUGACUCUACCUAAGUCUCCACUGUUGUUUUACCUAAUCUUCCACUCUGACUCUACUGUCCCCAAACCUUCACUUUGCCUUAAUAUCCUCUAGCUGUUGACCUUAAGUCACUUUGUGCUCCUAACACACCCUGUGAUCCUCACACCCUCCUAAAGAUA